rnacentral:rRNA from 1 species
AUUGAACGCUGGCGGCAUGCUUUACACAUGCAAGUCGAACGGCAGCACAGGGAGCUUGCUCCUGGGUGGCGAGUGGCGAACGGGUGAGUAAUGUAUCGGAACGUGCCUGGUAGUGGGGGAUAACUACUCGAAAGAGUGGCUAAUACCGCAUGAGAUCUUUGGAUGAAAGCGGGGGACCUUCGGGCCUCGUGCUACUGGAGCGGCCGACGGCGGAUUAGGUUGUUGGUGGGGUAAAGGCCUACCAAGCCUGCGAUCUGUAGCUGGUCUGAGAGGACGACCAGCCACACUGGGACUGAGACACGGCCCAGACUCCCACGGGAGGCAGCAGUGGGGAAUUUUGGACAAUGGGCGCAAGCCUGAUCCAGCAAUGCCGCGUGCAGGACGAAGGCCUUCGGGUUGUAAACUGCUUUUGUACGGAACGAAAAGUCUCUGGCUAAUAUCUAGAGAUCAUGACGGUACUGGAAGAAUAAGCACCGGCUAACUACGUG